UAAACACACAUUUGACUUUCUUUUUUACUCAAACUGAACAUUUGAGAGGGGCUUUGCCCGGCAGCCCUGCCUCCCUCUUCUUCUUCUUCUUCUUCUUCUUCUUUUUCUUCUUCUUCUUCUUCUUCUUUUCGCUCAAAGUCUGUGAAACUCCGGGGCUAACAAAUAAGAUAUAUAUUUAUAGGGAGAUAUUUAUAUGUAUAGAGAGAGGGAGAGAUAGGGAUAUAAACCGAGCUGUCUCGCUCCGUGUGUGUAGAUACAUAUAUAUAGCUAUUUAAUUCUUCCAUCUCUCCAGGUCGUGGCUGAAUUAUUUUAAGAUUUUUUAACUUUUUUUUUUUUUUUUAAAUCUCGCUUCCUUUUUUUUUUUUUGUAUUUCUUUUUUUUUCCUUUUUUUUUUUUUUUUCCCUUCUGGUGUGUGUGGCUUCGCCUUGAAAAGCGAGCGGGAGCCAGAGCAUCUGCAUUUGGACUUUUUUGGUCUUUUUUUUGUUUCUUCACUCCGGGGCUUUUCUUUCUUUCUUUUUUUUUUUUUUUUUUCCCUCCUUUUUAAAAUUUUUUUAUCAUUUUUGAAUUUUUCCCCCUCGACUUUUUUACCUCCUCACCCUCGCCCACCCCCUUUCUUUUUGGGGUACCUCUCGCUUUUUUUUUUUUUCCCCUCCUUAAUUUUCCCCUUCCCCCCCCCCCCCCCUUUUCUCUCAGCGUGGGGGUGUUUUUUUGGGUUUCGCUUUUUUUUUUGUGUGUUGUUUAUUUUUUUUCCGCCUGUGUCACUCUGUCAAGUUUAUCCCAAACAAAGUUUUCAGAGAGCGAGAGCGAGGCGGAGGAGAAACGGCUUUUCGCCUUUUUUUUUUUUUUUUUUAUCCUUUUCAUUCUCCCCCCACUCUUUUCCCCUGCUGUUUUUCCAACCUGCCAGCGGAGAGAGGGGGGCGAGCCCGGCCCCCCUCGCCCCAAAGACCCCCCAGGCAGCUUUUAACGCGCGCUCCGCAAUCGCCCUUUUUUUAUUUUUUUUUUUUUUUUCCCCGGGCGUGCGUGUCGUGUGUGUGGGUGCGAGUGUGGUGCCUGUCAAGGGGCUGUUUCUCUCCCCACCCUCCUCCUCCUCCUUCUUCCAAAUAUGCUUUUUGCAAGUUUUGAUCUCGUCUCGGCACUGGCUACCCUCGCCGCGUGCUUGGUGUCACUGACUUUGCUGCUGGCCGUGUCCCAACAGCUGUGGCAGCUCCGCUGGGCUGCCACCCGCGACAAAACCUGCAAGCUACCAAUCCCCAAAGGCUCCAUGGGAUUCCCUU
rnacentral:lncRNA from 1 species